rnacentral:rRNA from 1 species
GACGAACGCUGGCGGCGUGCUUAACACAUGCAAGUCAGGGGCGGCCCUUUCGGGGGUCGUCACCGGCGAACGGGUGCGUAACACGUGAGCGACCUGCCCUGGAGUGGGGGAGUAGCCGGGCCCAACGGCCGGGUAAUACCGCAUACGACGCGUCGGGGGCAUCCCCGGGGCGUGAAACCCGAGAGGGACUCGAGGAGGGGCUCGCGGCCUAUCAGCUAGUUGGCGAGGUAACGGCUCACCAAGGCGAUGACGGGUAGCUGGUCUGAGAGGAUGGCCAGCCACAUUGGGACUGAGGAGACGGCCCAGACUCCUACGGGAGGCAGCAGUGGGAAUCUUGCGCAAUGGCCGAAAGGCUGACGCAGCGACGCCGCGUGC